UGGGAAGGAUCCAGGAUCAAGCUAUCUAGA
rnacentral:piRNA from 1 species